rnacentral:rRNA from 1 species
UACGUAGGGUGCAAGCGUUACUCGGAAUUACUGGGCGUAAAGCGUGCGCAGGCGGUUGUGCAAGACAGAGGUGAAAUCCCCGAGCUUAACUUGGGAACUGCCUUUGUGACUGCACGGCUAGAGUGUGUCAGAGGGGGGUAGAAUUCCACGUGUAGCAGUGAAAUGCGUAGAGAUGUGGAGGAAUACCGAUGGCGAAGGCAGCCCCCUGGGAUAACACUGACGCUCAUGCACGAAAGCGUGGGGAGCAAACAGG